GGGUUGUGAGGUUAAGCGACUAAGCGUACACGGUGGAUGCCCUGGCAGUCAGAGGCGAUGAAGGGCGUGCUAAUCUGCGAUAAGCGCCGGUAAGGUGAUAUGAACCGUUAUAACCGGCGAUACCCGAAUGGGGAAACCCAGUGUGAUUCGUCACACUAUCAUUAACUGAAUCCAUAGGUUAAUGAGGCGAACCGGGGGAACUGAAACAUCUAAGUACCCCGAGGAAAAGAAAUCAACCGAGAUUCCCCCAGUAGCGGCGAGCGAACGGGGAGGAGCCCAGAGCCUGAAUCAGCAUGUGUGUUAGUGGAAGCGUCUGGAAAGGCGCGCGAUACAGGGUGACAGCCCCGUACACAAAAGCGCAUGUGCUGUGAGCUCGAUGAGUAGGGCGGGACACGUGGUAUCCUGUCUGAAUAUGGGGGGACCAUCCUCCAAGGCUAAAUACUCCUGACUGACCGAUAGUGAACCAGUACCGUGAGGGAAAGGCGAAAAGAACCCCGGCGAGGGGAGUGAAAAAGAACCUGAAACCGUGUACGUACAAGCAGUGGGAGCACAGGUUUACCUGUGUGACUGCGUACCUUUUGUAUAAUGGGUCAGCGACUUAUAUUCUGUAGCAAGGUUAACCGCAUAGGGGAGCCGGAGGGAAACCGAGUCUUAACCGGGCGUUAAGUUGCAGGGUAUAGACCCGAAACCCGGUGAUCUAGCCAUGGGCAGGUUGAAGGUUGGGUAACACUAACUGGAGGACCGAACCGACUAAUGUUGAAAAAUUAGCGGAUGACCUGUGGCUGGGGGUGAAAGGCCAAUCAAACCGGGAGAUAGCUGGUUCUCCCCGAAAGCUAUUUAGGUAGCGCCUCGUGAAUUCAUCUCCGGGGGUAGAGCACUGUUUCGGCUAGGGGGCCAUCCCGGCUUACCAACCCGAUGCAAACUGCGAAUACCGGAGAAUGUUAUCACGGGAGACACACGGCGGGUGCUAACGUCCGUCGUGAAGAGGGAAACAACCCAGACCGCCAGCUAAGGUCCCAAAGUCAUGGUUAAGUGGGAAACGAUGUGGGAAGGCCCAGACAGCCAGGAUGUUGGCUUAGAAGCAGCCAUCAUUUAAAGAAAGCGUAAUAGCUCACUGGUCGAGUCGGCCUGCGCGGAAGAUGUAACGGGGCUAAACCAUGCACCGAAGCUGCGGCAGCGAACGUAUCACUUAAAGCGAUUCAGCGGGUUACGAUUGACGGAGCGAAGCGACGUCAAAGCGUAUACAAAGUCGAGUCGGUUUAAGGAUACGUUCGUUGGGUAGGGGAGCGUUCUGUAAGCCUGUGAAGGUGGCCUGUGAGGGUUGCUGGAGGUAUCAGAAGUGCGAAUGCUGACAUAAGUAACGAUAAAGCGGGUGAAAAGCCCGCUCGCCGGAAGACCAAGGGUUCCUGUCCAACGUUAAUCGGGGCAGGGUGAGUCGACCCCUAAGGCGAGGCCGAAAGGCGUAGUCGAUGGGAAACGGGUUAAUAUUCCCGUACUUGGUGUUACUGCGAAGGGGGGACGGAGAAGGCUAUGUUGGCCGGGCGACGGUUGUCCCGGUUUAAGCGUGUAGGUGUGUGUUCCAGGUAAAUCCGGUUCACUUUAACACUGAGGCGUGACGACGAGGCACUACGGUGCUGAAGCAACAAAUGCCCUGCUUCCAGGAAAAGCCUCUAAGCAUCAGGUAACAUCAAAUCGUACCCCAAACCGACACAGGUGGUCAGGUAGAGAAUACCAAGGCGCUUGAGAGAACUCGGGUGAAGGAACUAGGCAAAAUGGUGCCGUAACUUCGGGAGAAGGCACGCUGACACGUAGGUGAAGUGAUUUACUCAUGGAGCUGAAGUCAGUCGAAGAUACCAGCUGGCUGCAACUGUUUAUUAAAAACACAGCACUGUGCAAACACGAAAGUGGACGUAUACGGUGUGACGCCUGCCCGGUGCCGGAAGGUUAAUUGAUGGGGUCAGCGCAAGCGAAGCUCCUGAUCGAAGCCCCGGUAAACGGCGGCCGUAACUAUAACGGUCCUAAGGUAGCGAAAUUCCUUGUCGGGUAAGUUCCGACCUGCACGAAUGGCGUAAUGAUGGCCAGGCUGUCUCCACCCGAGACUCAGUGAAAUUGAACUCGCUGUGAAGAUGCAGUGUACCCGCGGCAAGACGGAAAGACCCCGUGAACCUUUACUAUAGCUUGACACUGAACAUUGAGCCUUGAUGUGUAGGAUAGGUGGGAGGCUUUGAAGCGUGGACGCCAGUCUGCGUGGAGCCGACCUUGAAAUACCACCCUUUAAUGUUUGAUGUUCUAACGUGGACCCGUAAUCCGGGUUGCGGACAGUGUCUGGUGGGUAGUUUGACUGGGGCGGUCUCCUCCUAAAGAGUAACGGAGGAGCACGAAGGUUGGCUAAUCCUGGUCGGACAUCAGGAGGUUAGUGCAAUGGCAUAAGCCAGCUUGACUGCGAGCGUGACGGCGCGAGCAGGUGCGAAAGCAGGUCAUAGUGAUCCGGUGGUUCUGAAUGGAAGGGCCAUCGCUCAACGGAUAAAAGGUACUCCGGGGAUAACAGGCUGAUACCGCCCAAGAGUUCAUAUCGACGGCGGUGUUUGGCACCUCGAUGUCGGCUCAUCACAUCCUGGGGCUGAAGUAGGUCCCAAGGGUAUGGCUGUUCGCCAUUUAAAGUGGUACGCGAGCUGGGUUUAGAACGUCGUGAGACAGUUCGGUCCCUAUCUGCCGUGGGCGCUGGAGAACUGAGGGGGGCUGCUCCUAGUACGAGAGGACCGGAGUGGACGCAUCACUGGUGUUCGGGUUGUCAUGCCAAUGGCACUGCCCGGUAGCUAAAUGCGGAAGAGAUAAGUGCUGAAAGCAUCUAAGCACGAAACUUGCCCCGAGAUGAGUUCUCCCUGAGACUUAGAGUCUCCUGAAGGAACGUUGAAGACGACGACGUUGAUAGGCCGGGUGUGUAAGCGCAGCGAUGCGUUGAGCUAACCGGUACUAAUGAACCGUGAGGCUUAACCUUACAACGCCGAAG
rnacentral:rRNA from 1 species